UACGUAGGAGGCGAGCGUUGUCCGGAAUCACUGGGUGUAAAGCGCGUGUAGGCGGCCUGCCAAGUCUGCUGUGAGAGCGCCUGGCUUAACCGGGCGAGGUCGGUGGAAACUGGCGGGCUGGAGGCUGGUAGAGGGGGGUGGAAUUCCCGGUGUAGUGGUGAAAUGCGUAGAGAUCGGGAGGAACACCAGUGGCGAAGGCGGCCCCCUGGGCCCACGCCUGACGCUGAGACGCGAAAGCGUGGGUAGCAAACAGG
rnacentral:rRNA from 1 species